CUGGCAUUUUCUCCAAUGGCAAGACUUGAUGGUUCUUUCACUAGCAGUAAAGGAUGACAAACUUGUUCCAAGACAGCUCCAGGUUUGCAUGGAUCUUGACAGAAAAAUCCUGAAAUGAAGAUUAUGUCUCCCUCAGAUGGCUUCUGCUGGUGAAUCCCUUUGAUCAUAUCUCCGAUCUGCUUCAUAGUGGUCAAGCAAGGCCAAUUUUCCAACUUAAUAGGAGGAAAUAAAAGCCUAUGGGAUUGAGAAGCAAGUAUUACUGAAAGAUAUUGAAAUUGAGGAGCAAGUCAGUCCUGAAAGACUGUCAGGAUCACACUUAUAGGAACAGACAAGAAAAACUGUGGU